rnacentral:piRNA from 1 species
UCGACAUUUUUUUCUAUGAAU